AUAGUACCCUGUCAAAUUAGUCUAAGUGCGUGCAAAUUGGACCAGACACCACCAUUAUCAGUAACGAAAAGAAAAGCAUGUGUUGGAGGUUGGCUUUUCAUGGAACACUAUUUUGUGUGGUUGAGAUGGUUCAUUACAUGUGCAUUUAACUGGUGUAUAUUUACCUGCUCUACUUCCUUAAUUGUUAAUAAUUUAGUUAUCAUGUUAUGUGGAUCAGCAUUGUGUGCAGUAAACAGGUUUUGGUGAUUUAAGACAUCUUUAUCCUCUAGAUUUCUUUCAUCAAAGGCAGCAAGUUUAUCUGUUUUAACAACAAUAUAUCUGAAUGCGCACAAGUUUUAAGUGUAGAGUUUGAGAAACAUUUGAAACCUUGCAUGAUAUCUUUUUCCUUCUUUUCAGUUAUUGUUUAAUAGUUUAAGAUUUGCUUGUUUAGCA
rnacentral:misc_RNA from 1 species